rnacentral:lncRNA from 1 species
GCGGUGUGGGUCCAGAGUAACGGCGGCUCUGGGCGUUAGGCUUUGCCGAGUGCUCGUAGUUAAGCCCUCGGCAAAGCUCUGCUGGAGGUCAGACAUUGCCGAGGGCCCGCCAGCCUGCCCUCGGCAACACCCCUCUUUACUGAGGGUCUGGAGUGGGCCCUCGGCAAUUUUUUUUGUUUUUUUGGAUCCAUGUUUUUUUUCUUUCUGUGGCACACCUACACUAUUUUUAAGUACAUGCUAAAGUUUGGUUCAUUUUAAAAUAACUUUGGUCAAGCCCUCGGCAAAGAAAUUAAUUAAAAAAAAUAAGAAACUCUUUGCCGAGGGCCCUGGAUCUAGGCCCUCGGCAAAGAGGCCGACCGUAAUAAAACGCCCGAGCG